GAGAUCUUCCUUUGGGAUAUCGAGCACAACACUUACGAAGUUCUUGGAUGACAGCCUGACACUUCGAUUCCAAAUAGUUGUUGGCUGAAAAACAGGUGGCAAAGAACACAGGCCCAGCUAUCAGCUUGCCUGAUGAAUGAAUGAAUCCUGCUUGUGCCACUGGGAAGCUUUACGACCAUCAGACCACCUAAUUUUUCUCUACUUCACUUUCUCUGAGGUGUAAAAUUAUGAACAUAUUGAUUGCAAUGAUAGUUAUUAAACACUUCUCAUAUGUUUAA